GGAAUAUUGCGCAAUGGGGGGAACCCUGACGCAGCGACGCCGCGUGGGUGAGGAAGGCUUUCGGGUCGUAAAGCUCUGUCAGAAGGGAAGAAAUGCUUAUAGGUUAAUAUCUUAUAAGUUUGACGGUACCUUCAAAGGAAGCACCGGCUAACUCCGUGCCAGCAGCCGCGGUAAUACGGAGGGUGCAAGCGUUGUUCGGAAUCACUGGGCGUAAAGGGCGCGUAGGCGGCUUGGCAAGUCAGAUGUGAAAGCCCACGGCUUAACCGUGGAAGUGCAUUUGAAACUGCUUGGCUUGAGUAUCAGAGGGGAAAGUGGAAUUCCCGGUGUAGAGGUGAAAUUCGUAGAUAUCGGGAGGAAUACCGGUGGCGAAGGCGACUUUCUGGCUGAAUACUGACGCUGAGGCGCGAAAGCGUGGGGAGCAAACAGGAUUA
rnacentral:rRNA from 1 species